CUACCAUGGCUUUCACGGGUAACGGAGGAUUAGGGUUCGAUUCCGGAGAGGGAGCCUGAGAAACGGCUACCACAUCUAAGGAAGGCAGCAGGCGCGUAAAUUACCCAAUUCUGACUCAGAGAGGUAGUGACAAGAAAUAACGGGUCGGGCUUACGCCCGGGACUGCAAUGAGACGAAUCUACACACCUUAUCGAGUAACAAUUGGAGGGCAAGUCUGGUGCCAGCAGCCGCGGUAAUUCCAGCUCCAAUAGCGUAUAUUAAAGUUGUUGCAGUUAAAAAGCUCGUAGUUGGAUUUCUGGCAGGGUGGCCUUGCCCACAGUAGUGCGUGCAGCGUGGCCCUUCCAUCCUUCUGUUAACCUUUAAGGGUUUAACGCUCUUUUAGGGGCUCAGAUAUUUUACCUUGAGAAAAUUAGAGUGUUUCAGGCAGGCUAGCGCCGGAAUACAUUAGCAUGGAAUAAUGGAAUAGGACUUUUGCCCUUUCUGUUGGUCUGAGGGGUUCGAGUAAUGAUUAAUAGGGAUAGUUGGGGGUAUUAGUACUUAACUGUCAGAGGUGAAAUUCUCGGAUUUGUUAAAGACUAACUUAUGCGAAAGCAUUUACCAAGGAUGUUUUCAUUAAUCAA
rnacentral:rRNA from 1 species